rnacentral:tRNA from 1 species
AGGGUUUUAUUUUAUUAAAAAAUAUUUUAUUUGCAUUAAAAAGAAUUUAACUCUA